rnacentral:sRNA from 1 species
GCCAGGCACAGUGGCAAAUGCCUGUAAUCCCAGCAGCUUGGGAGGCUGAGGCAAGAGGAUUGUGAGUUCAAAGCCAGCCUCAGCAACUCAGCGAGGCCCUUAGCAACUCAGGAAGACCUUGUCUUUA